rnacentral:rRNA from 1 species
GCGUAGGCGGCUUUUUAAGUCAGGGGUGAAAGACGGUGGCUCAACCAUCGCAGUGCCCUUGAUACUGAAGAGCUUGAAUACAUUAGAGGUAGGCGGAAUGUGACAAGUAGCGGUGAGAUGCAUAGAUAUGUCACAGAACACCGAUUGCGAAGGCAGCUUACUAUGAUGAGAUUGACGCUGAGGCACGAAAGCGUGGGGAUCAAACAGGAUUAGAUACCCUGGUAGUCCACGCCCUAAACGAUGAAUACUCGCUGUUAGCGAUACACAGUUAGCGGCUAAGCGAAAGCGUUAAGUAUUCCACCUGGGGAGUACGGUCGCAAGAUUGAAACUCAAAGGAAUUGACGGGGGCCCGCACAAGCGGAGGAGCAUGUGGUUUAAUUCGAUGAUACGCGAGGAACCUUACCCGGGCUUGAAAGUUAGUGAAUCAUUUAGAGAUAGAUGAGUGAGCAAUCACACGAAACUAGGUGCUGCAUGGCUGUCGUCAGCUCGUGCCGUGAGGUGUUGGGUUAAGUCCCGCAACGAGCGCAACCCCUAUGUUUAGUUGCCAGCACGUUAAGGUGGGGACUCUAAACAGACUGCCUGUGCAAACAGAGAGGAAGGAGGGGACGACGUCAAGUCAUCAUGGCCCUUACGUCCGGGGCUACACACGUGCUACAAUGGAUGGUACAGAGGGCAGCAAGCUGGCAACAGCAAGCGAAUCUCCAAAAGCCAUUCACAGUUCGGAUAGAGGUCUGCAACUCGACCUCUUGAAGUUGGAUUCGCUAGUAAUCGCAUAUCAGCAAUGAUGCGGUGAAUACGUUCCCGGGCCUUGUACACACCGCCCGUCAAGCCAUGGAAGUUGGGGGUACCUAAA